CACGUAGGGUGCGAGCGUUGUCCGGAAUUAUUGGGCGUAAAGAGCUCGUAGGCGGUGUGUCGCGUCGGCCGUGAAAACCUGCAGCUUAACUGUGGGCUUGCGGUCGAUACGGGCAUCACUGGAGUUCGGCAGGGGAGACUGGAAUUCCAGGUGUAGCGGUGAAAUGCGUAGAUAUCUGGAGGAACACCGGUGGCGAAGGCGGCUCACUGGCUCAUUUCUGACGCUCAGGCGCGACAGCGUGGGGAUCAAACAGG
rnacentral:rRNA from 1 species